rnacentral:rRNA from 1 species
AAAUGAGAGUGCUCAAAGCAGGCUAUUCUUAAAACUAAAGCCCGAAUGUUACCUGCAUGGAAUGAUGAAAGAUGAUCUCGGUUCCAUUUUGCUGGUUGUGGGAACCCGAGUUAAUGAUAAACAGGGACUGUCGGGGGCAUCCGUACUACGACGCGAGAGGUGAAAUUCAAUGACCGUCGUAGGACGAACAACAGCGAAAGCAUUUGCCAAGAAUGUCUUCGUUGAUCAAGAACGAAAGUUAGAGGAUCGAAGGCGAUCAGAUACCGCCCUAGUUCUAACCCUAAACGAUGCUGACUAGCAAUUCGCCGUCGUUAUUCCCAUGACGUGGCGAGACGCCCCCGGGAAACCUCAAGUCUUUGAGUUCCGGGGGUAGUAUGGUUGCAAAACUGAAACUUAAAGGAAUUGACGGAAGGGCACCACCAGGAGUGGAGCCUGCGGCUUAAUUUGACUCAACACGGGAAACCUCACCAGGCCCGGACACCAGAAGGAUUGACAGAUUAAGAGCUCUUUCUCGAUUUGGUGGGUGGUGGUGCAUGGCCGUUCUUAGUUGGUGGAGUGAUUUGUCUGGUUAAUUCCGGUAACGAACGAGACUCUGGCCUACUAACUAGUGGAYGUGGGKUUKCMUGCAUGGGCCCCAUCCGAUAAUGUCUUCUUAGAGGGAUGAGCAGCGAGUAUAGCUGCAGGAGAUUGAGCAAUAACAGGUCUGUGAUGCCCUUAGAA